CUGAGCUGUGAUGGGGAGUGAAAAUUACAGUAGCGAAGGUCAUGAUCUCACACUGCCAAGAAAAGCCUCUAGCCAGAUGAAGGUGCCCGUACCGCAAACCGACACAGGUAGGCGAGAAGAGAAUUCUAAGGCGCGCGGAAGAACUCUCGUUAAGGAACUCGGCAAAAUGACCCCGUAACUUCGGGAGAAGGGGUGCCCCGGUAGUGUGAAUAGCACGAGGGGGCCGCAGUGAAAAGGCCCAAGCGACUGUUUAGCAAAAACACAGGUCUGUGCGAAGCCGUAAGGCGAAGUAUACGGGCUGACGCCUGCCCGGUGCUGGAAGGUUAAGGGGAGCGGUUAGGGAGUAAUCCCGAAGCUGUGAACCGAAGCCCCAGUAAACGGCGGCCGUAACUAUAACGGUCCUAAGGUAGCGAAAUUCCUUGUCAGGUAAAUUCUGACCCGCACGAAUGGCGUAACGACUUGGGCGCUGUCUCAACGAGAGAUCCGGUGAAAUUUUAAUACCUGUGAAGAUGCAGGUUACCCGCGACAAGACGGAAAGACCCCAUGGAGCUUUACUGCAGCUUGAUAUUGAAUUUGGGUACGAUCUGUACAGGAUAGGUGGGAGCCUGAGAAGCAUGAGCGCCAGCUUGUGUGGAGGCACCGUUGGGAUACCACCCUGAUCGUAUCUAGGUUCUAACCUGGUGCCCUGAUCGGGUACGGGGACAGUGUCAGGUGGGCAGUUUGACUGGGGCGGUCGCCUCCUAAAGAGUAACGGAGGCGCCCAAAGGUUCCCUCAGAAUGGUUGGAAAUCAUUCGAAGAGUGCAAAGGCAUAAGGGAGCUUGACUGCGAGACCUACAAGUCGAGCAGGGACGAAAGUCGGGCUUAGUGAUCCGGUGGUACCGCAUGGAAGGGCCAUCGCUCAACGGAUAAAAGCUACCCUGGGGAUAACAGGCUUAUCUCCCCCAAGAGUCCACAUCGACGGGGAGGUUUGGCACCUCGAUGUCGGCUCAUCGCAUCCUGGGGCUGAAGUAGGUCCCAAGGGUUGGGCUGUUCGCCCAUUAAAGCGGUACGCGAGCUGGGUUCAGAACGUCGUGAGACAGUUCGGUCCCUAUCUGUCGUGGGCGUAGGAAAUUUGAGAGGAGCUGUCCUUAGUACGAGAGGACCGGGAUGGACGUACCGCUGGUGUACCAGUUGUUCCGCCAGGAGCACCGCUGGGUAGCUAUGUACGGACGGGAUAAGCGCUGAAAGCAUCUAAGCGUGAAGCCCCCCUCAAGAUGAGAUUUCCCAAUUAGUAAGACCCCUUGAAGACGACGAGGUAGAUAGGCUGGGGGUGGAAGUGCAGCAAUGCAUGGAGCUGACCAGUACUAAUCGGUCGAGGGCUUAU
rnacentral:rRNA from 1 species